GUAAAUAUGUGUGCGUGUGUUGGUCUGUGUGUGUGGUGUGGGUGUGUGUGUGUGUGUCUCAAUUAUUUCUGUCCUAUGCAAUUCACACCCACACAACACACAAAAACACGCAGACACACCAGAAUAUAUAUAUUAGGUAUUAUAUAUAUUAUAUAUAUAUAUCUAUAUAUAUAUAAAUAUAU